GAGUUUGAUCGUGGCUCAGAACGAACGCUGGCGGCAUGCCUAACACAUGCAAGUCGAACGAGAUCUUCGGAUCUAGUGGCGCACGGGUGCGUAACGCGUGGGAAUCUGCCCUUGGGUGCGGAAUAACUUCUCGAAAGGGAUGCUAAUACCGCAUAAUGUCGUAAGACCAAAGAUUUAUCGCCCAAGGAUGAGCCCGCGUAAGAUUAGCUAGUUGGUGGGGUAAAAGCCUACCAAGGCGACGAUCUUUAGCUGGUCUGAGAGGAUGGUCAGCCACACUGGGACUGAGACACGGCCCAGACUCCUACGGGAGGCAGCAGUGGGGAAUAUUGGACAAUGGGCGAAAGCCUGAUCCAGCAAUGCCGCGUGAGUGAUGAAGGCCCUAGGGUUGUAAAGCUCUUUUACCCGGGAUGAUAAUGACAGUACCGGGAGAAUAAGCUCCGGCUAACUCCGUGCCAGCAGCCGCCGUAAC
rnacentral:rRNA from 1 species